UGCCCAGUGAUGACUGUUAUCCUUGCUCCCCGUGCCCCCCGGGGCUGUGGGCGACACCUUGGCUGCCCUUGGGCUGGGCCGGCUGGGCCGUGCCUGGGGGCUGAGGGCA
rfam:Dipodomys ordii contig_90395, whole genome shotgun sequence.